rnacentral:lncRNA from 1 species
CCUAGUAGUUUGUUGUAAGAUUAAAUGAGAUAACAUUUAAAGGGCGCAAGAUAUGGAGUAAGCACUCACUGAAUGGUGCCUAUUGUAUGAGUAAAGGACCCUUAGUCUCACCCCAUGAAUAGGCUCAAGAGACUCCUUUAUCCUCAGUGGACUGUCUGCAUGAACCCAUACCUUCUUCCAAUUCCUGGGUUUGGAUGGGUCUUACUGAUCCUAAAAUACUCAGAUUAAGCAUUUCGUUCUCUGGAACUUUCCUUGACCCCUACUAGGCUGAGCCAAAUGUCCCUCCUCUGAGCUUCAUGGUUUGCUUAUAUCCUACAUUGUUUUGAAAUGAUCUGUUUAUAUAUUUUUCUCUCCCACUAGAGGGCAAGCUCCAGGGUGGCAGGGUUUCUAUUUUUCUCUUUAUAUUCAAGCAUCACUCAUAGUGUGUGGCAUAGAAAGGUCCAAUAUGAACAUAACCGAAUUCAGGGUCUAAGUUUGUCCCUUUUUACAGGUCGGGGCCAGGUGCUUGCUGAAGGAAGUAGGGUCGACAGGAUCAACCACAUCUUUGACAGAACAGGAUCCAAAGGGAGAAGCACUCAUCCUUCCUUGGGGGAAAUUUGAGAGAAUUUAUACAAGUGUGAGAAUUAAUUGAGACCCCUGAGUCCACUAGGUGCAAAGGUAAAUGGUCGGGGAUAUUAUCUGGGAGAAUGUUAAACCCUGGCAGCUCAUCUGAAGUUUCAAGUCUCUGCAGCCCCCUAGUGGCCAUUGAUUGUAGGAGAAAAUUUAUAGUUAAUUGACAAAUUACUGGUGUCAAUUUGACUUUGGGCAAGAAUUAUAUAGAGAAAUAAGAGAUGGAAUGGGGAGUGCAAGAGCCUACAUUUUAGUCUUUUUAACACUUUAAAUAGAAAAUUAUUCUUCCACUAGUGUGCAUGCUAGCGAAAUGAAAAUCCAAACAUAUAUGCUCACAUACUAGGGAAGUAUUAAUCUCCAUACCUUUUCCUUACUUUUCUCUUUCUCUUUCUUCCUCCCCCCUUCCUCCAACAAGGUAGGAGCAUCAUUUCUUCCACUUGGGUCAGAUCAUACUUUGCCUUGAACUUGUCAAGUCAGUGCACCCACUUUGAGUUCCAAGGAGAGGCAAGUUGCUUGUCAAAUUAAGUGAGUUGUCAAACAUAGAGCUGGAAGCAAGUCAUUCCAAGAAUCAAUAUUCUUUUGUUAUUAGGUCUUCCA